rnacentral:rRNA from 1 species
UACGUAGGGUGCAAGCGUUGUCCGGAAUUAUUGGGCGUAAAGAGCUCGUAGGCGGUCUGUUGCGUCGGCUGUGAAAACCCGGGGCUCAACCCCGGGCCUGCAGCCGAUACGGGCAGACUAGAGUUCGGCAGGGGAGACUGGAAUUCCUGGUGUAGCGGUGAAAUGCGCAGAUAUCAGGAGGAACACCGGUGGCGAAGGCGGGUCUCUGGACAGUUCCUGACGCUGAGGCACGAAGGUCAGGGGAGCAAACGGG